rnacentral:rRNA from 1 species
UACGAAGGGGGCUAGCGUUGCUCGGAAUCACUGGGCGUAACGCGCACGUAGGCGGAUUGUUAAGUCAGGGGUGAAAUCCUGGAGCUCAACUCCAGAACUGCCUUUGAUACUGGCGAUCUUGAGUCCGGGAGAGGUGAGUGGAACUGCGAGUGUAGAGGUGAAAUUCGUAGAUAUUCGCAAGAACACCAGUGGCGAAGGCGGCUCACUGGCCCGGUACUGACGCUGAGGUGCGAAAGCGUGGGGAGCAAACAGG